rnacentral:lncRNA from 1 species
AUGUUUUAUUUUGACUUUGACAUAUUGGUGUCAGAAGUGGGAUCCAAAGCAGACUCACUUCAGGGAGAUGAACAACCCUUGGAACUAUGGCAAGAGCUACCCCUUGAGCCUGCAAACUUCUGCAGGUCACCUCUUUUCCCCCUGCAAAUCACAACAAAGUCUUCACUUUCAUCUUUGGGAUGUAAGUGCUCCCUCCACUGGCUGACGGAGAGAGGUGUUGCAUUACAGGAAUGAAUAAAAAGAAGCUUCAGUUGGAUUAAAGUCUGCUCCUUGAUACUUACUUCUUAAACUUGUAGACAUAUAAUGGUUUAAAUGUAUGUAAAUUCACAUUGUUUUGUCAGAAAACUUUACACAUUUUAGCCUAUUUAAAGUAGUAACUUUUUUUACGAAGAACAUAGAAUAAAGGGAGAGUGGUGAAAGUAGUUUCUGUGACAGAUGAUAAGGAAACAAUAUGGAAUUCUUCACUUGAUGGUGUUUGGUAACUCUAGUCACUGGAUGGGGAGGGGCAGCAGAAAGGUUUCUUGAGAGGGUUUAGGGCUUUUCUAUUAGCAUUCUUGCUGUGCCAUUGAUUAGCACUGUCAUCUUGGACAACUAUUAUCUUGGAUAUUACCUUUCUUUUAUUUAUUUUUUUUUUUUGAGACAGAGUCUCACUUUGUUGCCCAGGCUAGAGUGAGUGCCGUGGCGUCAGCCUAGCUCACAGCAACCUCAAACUCCUGGACUCAAGCAAUCCUGCUGCCUCGGCCUCC